GACGAACGCUGGCGGCGUGCUUAACACAUGCAAGUCGAACGAAGUGGCGAACGGGUGAGUAAAGCGUAAUCAACCUGCCCUUCAGAGGGGGAAAACAGUUGGAAACGACUGCUAAUACCGCAUACUGAAGGAGGGGAUUGCGGUUGAAUGGCUAGUUGGGGGGGUAAGGGCCCACGAAGGCGAUGAUCAGUAGCCGGGCUGAGAGGAUGAACGGCCACAUUGGGACUGAGACACGGUCCAGACUCCUACGGGAGGCAGCAGUAGGGAAUCUUCCGCAAUGGGCGAAAGCCUGACGGAGCAACGCCGCGUGAGUGAUGAAGGUCUUCGGAUCGUAAAACUCUGUUAUUAGGGAAGCGGUACCUAAUCAGAAAGCCACGGCUAACUACGUGCCAGCAGCCGCGGUAAUUC
rnacentral:rRNA from 1 species